CCUACGGGGUGCAGCAGUGAGGAAUAUUGGUCAAUGGACGAGAGUCUGAACCAGCCAAGUAGCGUGAAGGAUGACUGCCCUAUGGGUUGUAAACUUCUUUUAUAUGGGAAUAAAAUGUUCAACGUGUGGGAUGUUGUAUGUACCAUAUGAAUAAGGAUCGGCUAACUCCGUGCCCGCAGCCGCGGUAAUACGGAGGAUCCGAGCGUUAUCCGGUUUUUAUGGGUUUAAGGGGAGCGAAGGUGGAUUGUUAAGUCAGUUGUGAAAUUUUGCGGAUAAACGGUAAAAUUGCAGUUGAAACUGGCAGUCUUGAGUACAGUAGAGGUGGGCGGAAUUCGUGGUGUAGCGGUGAAAUGCUUAGAUAUCACGAAGAACUCCGAUUGCGAAGGCAGCUCACUGGACUGCAACUGACACUGAGGCUCGAAAGUGUGGGUAUCAAACAGGAUUAGAUAUCCCAGUAGUC
rnacentral:rRNA from 1 species